rnacentral:lncRNA from 1 species
GACAUGCACUCACAAGCAGGACAAGUGCCAACCUGAACCAUCUUUUAGUAUCAUUAACUCUCAUUAGCAUUGGAACUACUGCAACCCCUGCUGCUAUUGUCACCACAGCUGCAUUGGUAGUAGGUAAAGAUGAGGCAGAGAUCAUAAGAUGUACAAGUGAUUACUUCAUAUUUCAUUGCCUUCCUUUUAGUUGAUGAAGUGUUUCCUCAUUUAUUUUCUAGCAAUGGAGAAAUCUUGCUGAGAGGAUCUUCAACUAAUGGCCUACUGACCUGGUGUGUAGUACUUUGCACAGGAGUCUAUCAAUGUCUGGGUCUUGGAUCUGCGGUUUUGAGCUUCUUCGACUAAUCUUGCCAUUCUAGCAACUGCAGAUUGCUCAGCUAAAGCAGUUGUGCGCACACUAAUAUAACCUGCAUUGUCUCUUGCAGGUCAUCCGUGAUCAAAGAGUUAGUUGAAGAAGCAUGACAAAAGUAUUGUACCAUCUAUGUUUAGUGUGCCAGCCCAAACUGGUGACUGCGGCUGCUUGACGACAGGGAAGGACUCUCCUGUGAGGCUACUCUCAUCAACU